rnacentral:rRNA from 1 species
ACUUCUUUAUCACCGAGUGCUUGCACUCACCGAUAAAGAGUUGAGUGGCGAACGGGUGAGUAACACGUGGGCAACCUGCCCAAAAGAGGGGGAUAACACUUGGAAACAGGUGCUAAUACCGCAUAACCAUAGUUACCGCAUGGUAACUAUGUAAAAGGUGGCUAUGCUACCGCUUUUGGAUGGGCCCGCGACGCAUUAGCUAGUUGGUGGGGUAAAGGCUUACCAAGGCAAUGAUGCGUAGCCGAACUGAGAGGUUGAUCGGCCACAUUGGGACUGAGACACGGCCCAAACUCCUACGGGAGGCAGCAGUAGGGAAUCUUCCACAAUGGGCGAAAGCCUGAUGGAGCAACGCCGCGUGGGUGAAGAAGGUCUUCGGAUCGUAAAACCCUGUUGUUAGAGAAGAAAGUGCGUGAGAGUAACUGUUCACGUUUCGACGGUAUCUAACCAGAAAGCCACGGCUAACUACGUGCCAGCAGCCGCGGUAAUACGUAGGUGGCAAGCGUUAUCCGGAUUUAUUGGGCGUAAAGAGAACGCAGGCGGUCUUUUAAGUCUGAUGUGAAAGCCUUCGGCUUAACCGGAGUAGUGCAUUGGAAACUGGGAGACUUGAGUGCAGAAGAGGAGAGUGGAACUCCAUGUGUAGCGGUGAAAUGCGUAGAUAUAUGGAAGAACACCAGUGGCGAAAGCGGCUCUCUGGUCUGUAACUGACGCUGAGGUUCGAAAGCGUGGGUAGCAAACAGGAU